GAGGAAUAUUGGGCAAUGCCCGCAAGGGUGACCCAGCAACGCCGCGUGGAGGAUGAAUGUCGUAAGAUUGUAAACUCCCGUUAGAGGGGAAGAAUAGUACCGGUUGGACCGGUAUAUGACUGUACCCUCAGAGAAAGCCCCGGCUAACUACGUGCCAGCAGCCGCGGUAAUACGUAGGGGGCAAGCGUUGUCCGGAUUUACUGGGUGUAAAGGGCGCGCAGGCGGGAUAAAAAGUCAGUGGUGAAAUCCUACAGCUUAACUGUAGAACUGCCUUUGAUACUUUUAUUCUUGAGUUCGGGAGAGAGAGACGGAAUUCCAGGUGUAGUGGUGAAAUACGUAGAUAUCUGGAAGAACACCAGUUGCGAAGGCGGUCUCUUGGUCCGACACUGACGCUGAGGCGCGAAAGCGUGGGGAGCAAACA
rnacentral:rRNA from 1 species